AACUUCGCAGAUGUUCAUUUUAUUAACGUUCUCACUUGAUGAGCUCCUUGUUCCAGUCCCUGCCUCUGCACAAAUACUAUCGCCCUCACCCAGAAACGAAUGUAUUUUCACUGGUGUUCUGCACAGCUAUAGGUCAAGCACUGGAGUACUCUGAGCAAGGAGGUGGGAAUACAGUCUGAAAGAUGUGCAUCCCUAUUCCACGGAGAAGAUCUAAAACCAGCAACCUGAAAUGGCCCUAGAUAGAAAGGUGGCAUCCAAAUCUGCUAAGAUGGGCGUGGUUUGAUCAAUAAUCUUAUGCAUAGCAACAAUGCAGACUGGAGCAGAGAUACCCCACCCCACGAAAAUGCACAGAUUUGCAGCUCAAUUCCUAUUAUUCCUCACUGCAAGGAUGCUCAGAUCACAGCCACUCUACAGGAAACAGCCUCCAUCUAUUUGUUAAUCAUCAAAACUUUGCAUUUCUUCUGUACGUCAACCUGAC